UCUCUUUUUCUCUCUUCCUCUCUUCUUCUUCGCGCAAGCAAGGAGUAGCGCCGCUCCUCCUCCCUCUCCUCGUUUCGGGCCACCGCUCAACGAAAGCUAGGUGGCGGUCGGCUCGUCUGGUGCUGGUGGUCAUGUCUCCAGCCUCCUCUCGCGCGAAAGGAGCUUCAAUGGGAGCGAAACGGAGUUGUUCUCCUUGACAGCUCGUGCUCACCAAACUCCAGCGAUCCACGCCAUUUCCAGCUGCUUCAAGGCGAGGGACAUGCUUUGAUCGACUCCUCUCUUCCCAACGAGUCUCUUUCUUCCAUCAGUUUCGGCGACAAAGCUUGCUUGAGGAAAACGCCAUGAAAGGAGGUGGCGAAGCCACUGUCAGGGCCAUUUCCGGCGAAACAAGGCUUAACCAGUCCAAAUUGAUCACGAAUCCGGAGUCCCCAUGAGAUUUCGAGUAUUUUGUUAUAUAUGUUGUAAAAUUCUGGGCAAAAGUUGCUUUUCCGGCCACCGUGAACGGCGGCGACGGCAGCGGUCCGGCGACCGGCCAACGAUUCUCCGGCCAGGCACCAAAAGGCGAAAUCUUCCUUUUCUCGUGUAGGCUGUGGAUUCGUCAUCCGAUUUUUGAUCGAUGUUUAUAAAGUCCCGAAAGGUGAAGACAAAUGCUGGAAGCGUACAAUAAUAAAGAUAGUCCUUUCAAGGACAACAAAAAACUGU